CACGUAGGGGGCAAGCGUUGUCCGGAUUUAUUGGGCGUAAAGAGCUCGUAGGCGGUUCGGUAAGUCGGGUGUGAAACCUCCAGGCUCAACCUGGAGUCGCCACUCGAUACUGCUGUGACUAGAGUCCGGUAGAGGAGCGUGGAAUUCCUGGUGUAGCGGUGAAAUGCGCAGAUAUCAGGAGGAACACCAGCGGCGAAGGCGGCGCUCUGGGCCGGAACUGACGCUGAGGAGCGAAAGCGUGGGUAGCAAACAGG
rnacentral:rRNA from 1 species